AGUGAACGCUGGCGGUAGGCCUAACACAUGCAAGUCGAACGGCAGCACAGUAAGAGCUUGCUCUUACGGGUGGCGAGUGGCGGACGGGUGAGGAAUACAUCGGAAUCUACUUUUUCGUGGGGGAUAACGUAGGGAAACUUACGCUAAUACCGCAUACGACCUACGGGUGAAAGCAGGGGAUCUUCGGACCUUGCGCGAUUGAAUGAGCCGAUGUCGGAUUAGCUAGUUGGCGGGGUAAAGGCCCACCAAGGCGACGAUCCGUAGCUGGUCUGAGAGGAUGAUCAGCCACACUAGAACUGAGACACGGUCCAGACUCCUACGGGAGGCAGCAGUGGGGAAUAUUGGGCAAUGGGCGCAAGCCUGAUCCAGCCAUACCGCGUGGGUGAAGAAGGCCUUCGGGUUGUAAAGCCCUUUUGUUGGGAAAGAAAAGCAGCAGGUUAAUACCCCGCUGUUCUGACGGUACCCAAAGAAUAAGCACCGGCUAACUUCGUG
rnacentral:rRNA from 1 species